CUCUCCUUUUCCUGCCGCCUCGGCUCCCUCCUCCCACCUCAGCUCUCUCCUCCCUCCAAACCCUAGCCCCGCACGCGGCCGGCCGCGCUGCUCCGCCUCCUACUCUCCUCCUCCCCUCGAAGCCCCAGUGCGUCUGACCGUGGCGCGGCCAGCAUGCACCUAGCGGGGGCGGGCAAGCGGGGGCGGCUGGGAGGGGCGAGAGGGGGCGGCUGCUCUCUCCCCUGCCUCUGCCACCUCUCCUCCUCCUCCUGCAAGGGCUGGGCACGCCCGCACGCAGGCCGUGGCUGACCGCGGCACGGCCAACAUGCGGCUAGCGGGGCGGCAGCGGGCGAGCAGGGGCGUCUGUGCGCGACGAGUGGGGGCCGGUGUGGCGGGCGAACAACGGAGGCCGGAGGCGAGGCCAGGGGCGGGCGGCAGCGAGCGCGCAGGGCUGGCGAGGCGGCGCGGGCGACAGCGGCAACAGCGCAGCAGCAGGCAGCGGCGACCGCGAGCGCGUAGGGCUGGCGAGGAUGCGGCGGCGUGACAGGGCGGCGAGCAGCGGGAAGCAGUGGGAGCUCGCCGCGCGUGUGGAGCUGCGUGGACCAGCGGGUCGACGCGUCGUGCUCUCCCUACGCCGCAGCAACCUCUUCACCUCUCCCCGCUCCUGCCGCCCCCGGUGACCCUUGUGCGCCUUCUUCUCCGUGCUCGGCCACCCCGCGCCACUGCUGCACCUGUCAGUUCUCCCUCCACCUCUGGACUGGGCAUGUGGAGCGCGGCGUUGUCGCCGUUGUCCUCGACGCACGGGGAGCGCUGGCUGUAGAGGAGGCCAUCCACGGUGCCAUCGCCCCACAACAGAGAAGGUCGAGAAGGAUUCUGGGUGCUUGCUGCAAGUGUUGGACUGGUCGUUCCUCUAACCGGAGGCCUUGCGAUGGUUCUGUUGGGUUCAGGUCAAACCCGGCAAUGAACUUUAGAGUUAGUAUCCUCAAGUUAUUUUUUAACUACAUUACUAGACAGCCGUUGGCUUUCAGUUACCAGGUUUUGCUGCUGUUAAUUGUAUUUGGUAAGCUGCCUCUCAUUGUGCUUGUCGUCGGAACCAGCAACAGCAGAAGCUUGCCUGCUGCCCUACCAAAGCAAAAUUAGGUUAUUUGUGAAUGAACAUUACCUCUUCAGCAAUCUGAUGGAUUUACAGGCUUGUUUGUUUCGUUGGUGGCUUGCUGCUCGGGUUCUUUGUUGAUUUUGUUGGAUGUGUGUGCUGUUUACCAACAAGGAGCUUCAGAAGGGUUGCUCACCAAUGAACUAGAAGAUUGUUUUGUCCUGGGCACUCACAUGAUUAAGGAAGAAAUUGGUUAUUCCUGGAUGUGCUAUGCAGAUCAAAGAUUUUGCAGGUUAUUUAGCCAUUCCCGUGCUUCCAAAGGAACUCAUGACCCCUCUUAUAACUCUGCCCCGCAAUAUUUAGGUGUUACAAAAAUAGUUUGACCAUUUUGCCUCAUAAUGAGAGUUCUUUUACUAUUUUGGAGAUUGGUGCAUUCUUUCUGCAGUUUAACACCUGCAUUGCAAAUAAUCUUGCCAGAGAACUAUGUUGGGCACACAACUGCGUCUCCAACCCAUCCGAUGGAGAGGCACAAAUUCAUGGAUUGGCCAAUGAGAUAUGUAGAUUGAGACAAUAUGACGCUUCAGAUAAAUGAUGUGCAUAAUUUGGACCAAUGGCAUGAAAACAGAAAUCCAGCCUCCUUUUUUUGUGCGGAAAUGGGCCCCUACGAUAUCCUGGGGAUGGAUGUUUUAUUCGAAGAACUCCCAGAAAUUGUGAAUCUCGGUGUACAAGAAUCAACACGAAUGCUGAAACAUUGUUUUUUUUGCUGAAGAGGCCAGCUGCGAAUACCUUCAGCAGUACACUGAUGAGGCCAUGGUCAACCUUCAAGAGAGUGGUGUCUAUCCUUAUGGCCAGGAGCAGUCAACAGACGAUGAUGAGGACCUGCCAACCCAGAGCGAUGAAAAUCCACCGUACGACCCAGAGAUGAGGACCUCACUUGAUGAUGAACAGACCUUCGACAACGAAGGAUACUGCUCUGAUGAUUUCCGUUUCCUACCUGAAGAUCACUUCUAACAGCCAUGCAAGAACCAUCAGAUCGCUGCUAUCAUCAUUACAGCCAGUCGUUGCUCCCUACUAAUAUAGUUAUCUAUAGCCAUAUGUAACAUAUAUCCUAUCGCACGAUGGCACAGUCGGUUCUUCCGAAUCUAUCUGCUAAGCCUUAAUGAUCUGUAUGUACAUGUGAACCUAAUGAUGUACUAUGUCCUAUCGAACCAUGUCACUCUCGGUUAUGCCAGAUCUACUGCUGGAACUUCGUGCUUUGUUUAUUUGUUUGCUACGCUCUGCUGUGUUUAAAUCAUAUGUCUGAUUGCAUUCUUAUGCUUCCAAGUUUAUCUCAGCAUUAUGCCAUGUUUUUAUAGUUUUAGUUGCGUAAGUAUGUGUGCUCACGGAAUAAUUUUAACCUAUGGUUUAUUUCCAUGCCACUCAAAUUUUAUUUAGCCCUGGCCUGCAAGCACCGUCGUCUUGAUGGAUGAUGAUGAUUUAAUAGUCAAGGGGCUUCCACAGCUCUCUGCCAUUUGUGUUACCAUUAGCAGAAGGUACAUGGUUGAAGAAGCUAUUAAGCGGAUCCAUGGUACAAUUCAUGCAUUCGAGCUCACCGAUGAUAAUGACGACACAGUAAUGGCAUCAGUGAAAAUUGAUCUCCAGCCCCACAGCCAAAGCAUGUUGCCAACCCAACAGCUGUUCUUUGGAGAAUCAACUCGGUUUGCCAACGAUGCUAUCAAAUCAACAUGUUCUGCUGCUUUGGCCUAUCUGGUAACCAUGGGCAUCAUCACAAUAGACAAUUCCAACUCGACAAGCCUCAAGAAAUGCCAAAGGGAGCUCAAAGCUGAGCAGUUCUGGUCAUCAGUGCUAUUUGAGCGGGCAGAAUCCUUUCAAAAACAGCUCGCCUUUUUGACCGCGACAAAGAAAGGGCCUCAUUCAGAAAGUGACGAUGAUAACACUCCAGCACCCAAAUGUGUAAACGAAUUAGAGGAUGGCCUGAACGACGCCACCAGCUCGCUUCCACCAACCGAAGAAGCAUCAGACAAUGAACCGAAUCACAGGCCCAGCAAGAAAACAAAGCCUCAGUCAAAGACUAAAUGGACAGGUCAAAUGAUACAUAGACGGAGAUCACGCUGGAAUUUUGCCCUCUGUCUAUACCUCAAGUAUCGAUGAUACCUCCGUGCACUAUAACUACCAUGUCCUCUUUAUUCUGUUUAUUCAGCAAAUGAUGGAUUAGACGAGGAUUUAUUCAGACUCAAUCUGUACAACGAUGGAGUAUUCAUGCAGUCUUUUAUUUAAGCUUUCAAAUGAGUGCAUUGGAUGCUGGCUUUGAGCAUUUGGCUUGCAUGUUUUUUCUUGCUGUUAUAUUAUCUAUAUACAACUUUUCCUGAA
rnacentral:rRNA from 1 species